rnacentral:rRNA from 1 species
AUCGGGUGAAGCCGGGCACUCUGGAAGGACUGCCAUCGACAAGAUGAGGAAGUGGGGACGACGUCAAGUCAUCAUGGCCCUAUGUCCAGGGCGACACACGUGCUACAAUGGCCGGCACAACGGGAAGCGAGUUCGCGAGGACGAGCGGAUCCCUUAAAGCCGGUCGCAGUUCGGAUUGAAGUCUGCAACUCGACUUCAUGAAGCUGGAAUCGCUAGUAAUCGCAGAUCAGCCAAGCUGCGGUGAAUACGUUCCCGGGCCUU